rnacentral:lncRNA from 1 species
ACAAUGGGAAGCUACUGUGGCGACUUCCUGGUACAUACCCAGAAAACUGUAUCUCUGUCAACGUGUCCUCUAAGGGUCCAAGGGACUUGAUCCCUCUGCUGUAUCCACUUGGACAGAACAGACAUGAGUAUCGUGGAUCCCCUUCCUCAAGAAACCAUGGCACAGAGUGAAAGGACAAAUCCAAAAUCCCUGGCUGGUCUAGGCCUUUAGUCUCUUCACCAAAUUCCUUGCCCUGCAUGCCAGUCAGUAGUGAAACCUGCCCCACCAGGCCCCAGUUUGUGUUCUCACCCUGACAGAGCUCCGCAUGGGCCCCAGGUCAUGGUUGUAGGCUUCUACCAUCAGUACGUGGGACGAGUUCCGUUCCCUGUCCAGGGGCCUUGGCCCUCGCAUCAGGAGCCCGCUGCCUACGUGGAUCCGGAAGUUGUUGCCAUGGUUACCUGUGGAGCAGCACAUGAGAUGCAUGGGCUGGACCGGGAAGAGGAUGCUUAUGAGAUAGAAGGCAGUGAGUUCCAGGCCCUAUGGCACAUUGGUCCUGCCCACAGGACUUGGGCAUUGAAUUAAUUAUUAAUUAAUAAAUCCCAGCAUGAAGUUGCUA